GAGUAGGAUUUGUGUAGCGAAGUGAACUACGAAGUUGAAGAUCAAGGUAAAAUAAUUCAUCUUAGUAGCAAACAAGGAGGAGAUGACGUGAUUGAAGAAAUUGUGUAUCCAUCUUCGCUGUCCCUUUUGAGGUUGACUCCGUUCAUAUAGUACUGGUGACGGAUAUUUAUUGAAACUAUUUUGACGCUUAAUUGCAUUCGCAAGCACAUCCAUAUUGGAGCUAAGGUAUAAAAUGACGCCGUAAUUUUGUUAAUAUUUUUUGUAUUGAUGUACUGUUGUGAAUAAUGUGCAUGCCACUGCAAAUAUUAUUAUUUGUAAAUAAAUGAUUGUUAUCAUAUGAUAUGAAAAAAUUAUAUAAAGCCGGAAGAAAAUAAAUGUUUUACUCAUAUGAUAUUAAAAUGUUAUUAUCGUACUAUUAUGUUUAGUGCUUGUUUGGAUAGCGAGUAAUUACCAUCGGUUUUGUCAUAACCUGUUGUAAGAAAAUUAGUUUUUACUAAUAGUCAUUUUUC